CUGAAGAGUUUGAUCAUGGCUCAGAUUGAACGCUGGCGGCAGGCCUAACACAUGCAAGUCGAGCGGAUGAAGGGAGCUUGCUCCUGGAUUCAGCGGCGGACGGGUGAGUAAUGCCUAGGAAUCUGCCUGGUAGUGGGGGACAACGUUUCGAAAGGAACGCUAAUACCGCAUACGUCCUACGGGAGAAAGCAGGGGACCUUCGGGCCUUGCGCUAUCAGAUGAGCCUAGGUCGGAUUAGCUAGUUGGUGAGGUAAUGGCUCACCAAGGCGACGAUCCGUAACUGGUCUGAGAGGAUGAUCAGUCACACUGGAACUGAGACACGGUCCAGACUCCUACGGGAGGCAGCAGUGGGGAAUAUUGGACAAUGGGCGAAAGCCUGAUCCAGCCAUGCCGCGUGUGUGAAGAAGGUCUUCGGAUUGUAAAGCACUUUAAGUUGGGAGGAAGGGCAGUAAAUUAAUACUUUGCUGUUUUGACGUUACCGACAGAAUAAGCACCGGCUAACUCUGUGCCAGCAGCCGCGGUAAUACAGAGGGUGCAAGCGUUAAUCGGAAUUACUGGGCGUAAAGCGCGCGUAGGUGGUUUGUUAAGUUGGAUGUGAAAUCCCCGGGCUCAACCUGGGAACUGCAUUCAAAACUGACAAGCUAGAGUAUGGUAGAGGGUGGUGGA
rnacentral:rRNA from 1 species